rnacentral:rRNA from 1 species
AGAGUUUGAUCCUGGCUCAGGACGAACGCUGGCGGUAUGCUUAACACAUGCAAGUCGAACGAGACGAGAUGGAAGGAUCCUUCGGGUGACGGAAAUCUUAGAAAGUGGCGAACGGGUGAGUAACGCGUGGGUAACCUGCCCUAUGGAAAGGAAUAGCCUCGGGAAACUGGGAGUAAUGCCUUAUAAGAUACGUUUGUCGCAUGGCAGACAUAUUAAACGCUCCGGUGCCAUAGGAUGGACCCGCGUCCCAUUAGCUAGUUGGUGAGAUAACAGCUCACCAAGGCGACGAUGGGUAACCGGUCUGAGAGGGCGAACGGUCACACUGGAACUGAGACACGGUCCAGACUCCUACGGGAGGCAGCAGUGGGGAAUAUUGCGCAAUGGGGGCAACCCUGACGCAGCAAUACCGCGUGAGUGAAGAAGGUUUUCGGAUCGUAAAGCUCUGUUAUUGGGGAAGAAAAAAGACGGUACCCAAGGAGAAAGUCCCGGCUAACUACGUGCCAGCAGCCGCGGUAAUACGUAGGGGACAAGCGUUGUCCGGAUUUACUGGGCGUAAAGGGCACGCAGGCGGUUUUUUAAGUCAGAUGUGAAAGGUACCGGCUCAACCGGUGACAUGCAUUUGAAACUGAAAGACUUGAGUAUUGGAGAGGCAAGUGGAAUUCCUAGUGUAGCGGUGAAAUGCGUAGAUAUUAGGAGGAACACCGGUGGCGAAGGCGAUCUACUGGAACAUUAUUGACGCUG